rnacentral:misc_RNA from 1 species
GAUGAAGAACGUAGCGAAAUGCGAUAAGUAAUGUGAAUUGCAGAAUUCAGUGAAUCAUCGAAUCUUUGAACGCACCUUGCGCCCUUUGGCUAUUCCGAAGGGCAUGCCUGUUUGAGUAUCAUGAACACCUCAACUCUUCACGGCUUGCCGUGAUGAGUUUGGACUUUGGGGGUCUUGCUGGCCUACGAGCCAGCUCCUCUCAAAUGUAUUAGCUUGCCGGUGUUUGGUGGCAUCACAGGUGUGAUAACUAUCUACGCUUGUGGUUUUCCACUAGGUAACCUUCAGCAAUGGAGGUUCACCGGAGCUCACAAAUGUCUCUCCUUGCCAAGGACAGAUUUUGACCAUUUGAUCUCAAAUCAGGUAGGACUACCCGCUGAACUUAAGCAUAUCAAUAAGCGGAGA